rnacentral:lncRNA from 1 species
GACGGUCGGAUUAGAAAACACGAAGCCUUCCUGCCCUACUCCUUAGGUAUCUAAUGGGCUUUCGGGAUAAUCAGAGGGUGCUGACUGGCCCGUGGCUCCAAUUGGGGAGGCGCUUUCCCGCACCCCUGGGUCUCUGUCGGUUCCCAGGAUCCCGUGAGCCCAGAUGUGACCAUGGCUGACUCAGUCCUUCCCACCAGGUAAGCGAGUCUGCCUAGGAGAAGGCCUGGCUCGGGCGGAGCUGUGGCUCUUCUUCACUUCCAUCUUGCAAGCCUUCUCCCUGGACACCCCGUGCCCGCCGGGUGACUUGAGUCUGAAGCCAGCUGUCCGUGGACUUUUCAACAUCCCCCCGGACUUCCAGCUGCAGGUCUGGCCCACUGGCGAUCAGUCCAGAUGAAGGAAGGAAUUUGGAAGGUGGGAGCCACCUGGGACGACACAGUGUGUGAAGCAGGAGUCUCGGGAGCUACCCCAUACCACACACCAUGCACCAAGGUAGCUGUGAAGACCAGGGGGCCACAUCCCCAGGACAUAACCGCACGGCAACCGACGCGUAUGCUUUUUUGGAGAGGGCUGUCUGAAACGGGAUCUUGCUAUGGGACACACGCGGAUCUCAAAACUUGUGAUCCUCCUGCCUCAGCGCCCUGGUUGCUGUAAUUAAAGGUAUGCACCGCCAUGAAGAAGAGCUGCAUAGGUUUCCAGCCUACAUCAAUGUAAUGUAGACCAUCCGGCAUCACAAGCAUAUAGCUAGAUACCCACCAUCCACCACACAAUUGCGUAUGCACACAACCUUAAUCUAGCCUACACAGACGCGCAAACAACCCAACCGCGUUCAGGACUCUUACUCUCCCUGUCUAACGCUCUCAGCACCACGUUGCUGGGUCCCUGCCAUAGAAAACAGCAUGCCCCAGCUGGGGUCGUGUCACAGCCAGAACGAUGUUCCUGUCUACUCCCAUGGAAUGACCUCACCACCAUCCAGGCAUCUCCAUCUACGGCCACUAGCCAGAAAUCCACACAGCCAAACCUUACACGACAACAUCUUGGCUCUUCCAAACGUCUUCCCACUGAGACACACCGUGACGACAAACUAUUCCCCCGCCGCCUCCACACCCUUGCCCCUCAAACAUGCUCCUUCCAGCAAAUUUCCCCAAUAUAACUGUUUCCUGGUCUGUAACUGCGCUCACAGACCUUGUACAGACAGGGACCACAGACCCAGAGGAAAAAAUUCCCAGUCGUGUUUUACAUAAUUGCAUUAUCAGGGGCCUGCUCUCAAACACAUUCUGAUCUCAGGCUGCCUACAAGUCCUCAUGGGAGUGCUGGAAAUGUACCCCUCCCCUGGAAGGACUAACUGGUCAAACAGGGAUGGAGCAGGGGAGUGCUGUUGGAUGUUUCCAGCCCUCCUUAUCAGGACAGAAGCCAUAUCUGACCUCUUUGUGUCCCCAUUUUGCAAUAAAAGUUUGUCUCUGGCCCGGGAACGGAC